GCCUACGGCCAUACCACCCUGGCAAAAGCCCGUACGAUUCGUCUGAUCUCGGAAGCUAAGCAGGGUCGGGCCGGUUAGUACUUGGAUGGGAGACCUCCUGGGAAUACCGGUGCUGUAGGAU
rnacentral:rRNA from 1 species